rnacentral:rRNA from 1 species
AAAAGCUCAAAUUUGAAAUCUGGCACUUUCAGUGUCCGAGUUGUAAUUUGAAGAAGGUAUCUUUGGGUCUGGCUCUUGUCUAUGUUUCUUGGAACAGAACGUCACAGAGGGUGAGAAUCCCGUGCGAUGAGAUGACCCAGACCUAUGUAAAGUUCCUUCGAAGAGUCGAGUUGUUUGGGAAUGCAGCUCUAAGUGGGUGGUAAAUUCCAUCUAAAGCUAAAUAUUGGCGAGAGACCGAUAGCGAACAAGUACAGUGAUGGAAAGAUGAAAAGAACUUUGAAAAGAGAGUGAAAAAGUACGUGAAAUUGUUGAAAGGGAAGGGCUUGAGAUCAGACUUGGUAUUUUGUAUGUUACUCUUUCGGGGGUGGCCUCUACAGUUUACCGGGCCAGCAUCAGUUUGGGCGGUAGGAGAAUUGCAAAGAAAUGUGGCACUGCCUCGGUAGUGUGUUAUAGUCUUUGUCGAUACUGCCAGCCUAGACUGAGGACUGCGGCUUCGGCCUAGGAUGUUGGCAUAAUGAUCUUAAGUCGCCCUU